rnacentral:lncRNA from 1 species
UAAAAUUGUAAAAAAUGAAGUGCUAUACAAUAAUGUUAUAUUCAAUACAAAUAACUGUACCUGUACAAAAUAACAAAAUUCACACGUAAGAGCUAUGACAAACAGUAAUCAUUGGAAUAGUUUGAAUUGUAUCACAAAAAACUAUCACAUCCGUUAUCAACAAUUUCUACAUAAGCAUACCUGUAUGAUUAUUUUAUGGACGGAUAAACCAUAGACAAUUGUAAUAUACAAUAAUUAGUUUGAAGAAUUUGUCAUGAUUUGAUUUGUGUAAUGGCAUUAGCCUUUGAUUUAAUGAUUACGAUAAAGCUACAAACUUGAAAAAAAGAUUCAACUAGUUUAAUUUUUUCAAAAUUUCCGAAUAAUAUUUGUUUCUGGUCUAUCUAAUUAGAAGUCAUUCUUCACUUUUUAUACAGAAAUUUAUGUCAAAUAAACAAGUUCUACGUUUAUAAAAUUAUUCUAUUGUGGAUAUCGAUAAAAAUCAAGAGAUUGGAUGGGUUCGAAAAGGAGCAAGUCUGUGUACGUUAGUAUAUUACAAGUUUUAACGAAAUAAUGGUUUUAUUAUGUUGAUCAUAUGAAAUCUACACAAAAAUCAGGUUGCAAAUCAAAAAGUAUUCUAGCAUAAACCAAUACAACACAUAUAUUAAAUUUGCCGUAUAAGAUGACUGUACAUGGAUUCAUCUUCUGGAUCAUCAAUGGCAUAAUAAUGAUAUUUAAAAUCAAAGACAAAGAAUAAAGAUAAAAUUCAAGAAAACAGAAAAUGAUGUGAGGUUAUAUAUAUGUACAUGCAUGUUGGAGGAAGUGACAUAAAAUUUAUUUCAGCAAAA